GCGAUGGUGGUGUAGUUGGUUUAUCACAUUUGUCUAACAUUGGAGCUCAAUUACAGGCUCCGAUAGACCACAAAAGGUCCCGGGUUCAAGUCCCGGCCGUCGUA
rnacentral:tRNA from 1 species